rnacentral:rRNA from 1 species
UACGUAGGCAGCAAGCGUUGUUCGGAGUUACUGGGCGUAAAGGGUGUGUAGGCGGCUUUUUAAGUUUGGUGUGAAAUCUCCCGGCUCAACCGGGAGGGUGCGCCGAAUACUGAGAGGCUAGAGUGCGGGAGAGGAAAGUGGAAUUCCUGGUGUAGCGGUGAAAUGCGUAGAUAUCAGGAGGAACACCGGCGGUGUAGACGGCUUUCUGGACCGUAACUGACGCUGAAACACGAAAGCGUGGGUAGCAAACAGG